GCGUUUAUAUUAAGUCUAAUCAAGUAUGGAUCAAGGUUAGUGUUUUUUUCUCCUUCUCUUAGAACACUAUUAAGGUUGAAUUAAGAUAUCUUAAUUGAAAUCAUAAAAGUAUAUCUUACAGUUGGUCCUCCAAAAUUGAUGCAUGAAGGAACAUGUCAUCUCUGAUCUCGAACCCUUUUUUCAUUUCUUCUGCCUCAUAAGCAAACCUUUAUACGAUAUUUUGAACCAUAUAACCAGUGAAUUCUCCAAAAAUUAUAUAAACAACGGAAACUGCAUUCUAAAUCCCUUUGUCAAGAUUGGAAAAUGGGAAAACACCGGAAAUAAAAUCGAUGUUAUUCAUUCUGCAACCAAAAUCAAAUAAAACAAUAAAAUAGUUUACAUAAACAUUUAUAUAUAAACUAAAAUGUGAUCUUUUUAUUACGGGUUUGUUGGUUUGUUUUACAAUAGCAACAAUAUCAAGAAGAACACGGCAAUAACAUGAACAUAUAAACAAAUUUGUAUGUGUGAAAGACAAACUUUUUCAUCUAUCAUAAGAAAAUUAAGACUAAUGAUUUCAUUACUUCGUUUUGGAUUUUUAGCUAUCCAAACACGUAAAACUCUUUCUAAUAUUUUUUUUUGUUUAUAACGCUUCAUUUGAAUGUUUUCUAAAAAUUUGUAUCCAUGUAACUGUUAAAAACUUUUUUCCACCAUUUUAUUGUUAGUUGAUUAGUGAAAAUAUAUUUUGAGAAAUGCAUGGUAGAGACUAUUUAUAGAUUUUAAAAAUCUAUUUGAAUAGUCACAACUCUUCAAUUUGAAUAGUCGCAUUCUUCCAAUAUAAAAGUAGUUAUUUAAAAAAAAAAUACUUAUAUGAAUAGUCACAACUUUUAGAUAAUUUUUAGAGAAGAUACAACCUUCCAACAUUAAACUUUUAAAAAAUACACAAUUUUGUACACAUUUUUUACAAAAGACACAACCUUUUGAAUAUAAGUGGAUUCACAACCUUUAGAAUUAAUUGGGAUUGCUAUUAUUAGUAGAUAAAGAAAAUUUACUAGUUACAGUUUUUAAUAAUAAUCCCUCCGUAUCGGAUGAUUGAUGUUUUCGUAUUUUGUUAUUGUAUCCGAAAGAUUAAUGUUUUGGAGUAUAGUUAAUAUAUUUGCCCUUAAAACUAAAACAUCAAAUAAAAUGUAAAAAUGAAUAUUAAAACUUAUUGGUAAAACCAAACAAAUGAUAAAUAAAAUAAUCUUUUUAUUAUUUCUAAUAUGUGUGAAAUAGUUCGAACAUCAAACAUUUGUAUCAAAUUUUGUGUUUCAAACUCUCACUAUUCACAUUUGGAUAUUCUUUUUGAGGUAAAUUGUAGGUUGUUUACGAUCAUCAACAAUUCUAAAAUAAUAAAGAGGAACCAGAUAAUUUAAAAUAUUUAAAAUUGAACAGCAUAUUUUUGUUAAUUUUAAAUUUAAAAUGGCUAUAAUUUAGAGCAUAUAAUAAAUGCUAGAAUUUGAUCCGCGCGGCGCAGAUGUUUGAUUUAACUUGUAUUCAAACGUAAACUCAUAAAAUUGCUAGUUUUAUAAAACAAAUCAUGUAUAUUUUUAUGUUUUAUAAUUUGGCGAUUUAGUUAAUCCCAUGAAAAUGUUAUCUUUCUUUAACACAUGCAAUUUAGUUAAUAUUUGUAUAAUAUUAAUAAUGGUCAAUAUAUGAAUAUUGAUUUGGUUAGAUAAGUUUCAGAAUUGUUUGUAAUUAAUUAGUUUAAAUUGAUUUUAAAUGUGGUGGCACAAUUUGUAAAUAAAAAGAAAUACAAAAAAUAUAUUUAAUUUAUUGUAAAUGUAAUGGCUAAAUGUGUUAAUAAAAUAAAAUAAUAAAAAUACUGAUAUAUAUGUUUACAUACAAACUGUUAACCAUGUUUCCAAGUAAUACAAAAAAUAUUUUAGUUUUAAUAAUAUAGAUUCACUUGUUAGAAUCUAUUAAGAUUUUGAUCUAUUCAUGGUAUAUAUGCAAUAAUAGAUAACAUCAAAUAUUGAUCACAUAAGAUUACACUGCGAUCAAUAAAAAAGAGCACUCUAAUGAAAAUGUAAUAAAUUCAUAAGACUUCGUUUCAUUGUUUUGGAAACCAAACCUAGCAUUCAUAUUUACUAUUAGGCCAGUUUUCUUUUUUGAUGAUUACGGUAUAUCAUUUAUAACAUCAUCCCUCCUUUUGGUUAACUUUAAUGAUUUCGUUUACACGUACGUGUUAUGUGAUAUGAGAUUAUGUUACCAUUACGGGAAAAACACUAAUUAUUUUAUUCCAUUUAGUAUUUUUCCCGUAAUCCUAACAAUGAAUUUUGUAUAAAAUCUUGCAUACAAAAAUCGUCAACCAAAAAUAGCCAUUUCUUCAGAAUUCAACUUUGACUAUUUUCUAAAUUUUAAUAUAAAAACAAUACAUAUAUAUAUAUAUGCAGGUUUUAUACAUAGAAUUUAUAAUCUCGUGGCUUAACUUUAAAGGAAGUUGGUAAGUUUCAACAUUUAAAAGUCUAACUAAGGAGACGAAUGCAUUCUCAAAAUAUAUUACUACAUCUAUCCGUUGUUCUGGUGCGCCAUUGGCUCAUUUCUCAUUCAAACGAGGAGAAAAUACCAACAACCUAUAAAAAUGACCACCACGUAGUUCUUAAACUAUUAGACUAGCCGCGUCAAUGGCACAAUAAUAAUAAGAGAUCCCUAAUAAUAAUAGUUGUCUAAGUUUAUUUUAAUUUGCCAUGAAUAAAAAUAUACUACCUGAUGUUAUAACUUGAGAGACCUUCAAAAGUUGUUCGCUGGCCAGUUAUUUUUUGGUCAGCGUGAGUUUUUUUUUUAAUAAAUGUUGAAUUUUUAUUCAUCAAAAAAGUUUUUUUACGUCAAAGUGUAGACCUGAAUAAAAAAACGUACUCCUUUUACUUCUUCACUUCUAAUGAAACUCAAGAAUAUUUACACUCUUGUGUUAAACCAAUAUUGGAGAGCAACAUCCAUCCCUUUUGCUCUUUUCAAUUUCAUUAGGCUUAACUUGUUUCUGACCCCUUUGUCAAUAAGCUUCUUCACUACAUUUUGUGCUUAAAGGAAAAAAUAAUUAUGUGCCACACCUACGGCCUACCAAUGUACGAAAUAUGGCUUAAAUUUGCAGGUUCGUGCUUUUUCUUCCACCAGUCUAUUUAGAUUUACCGUGUUUUGUCAACUCAUCGGAUAUUUAGUAUCGCCGUCCAUGCAAUGUAACAAAGUUAGUAGAUUGAUAUAACUGGACAAGCUAAUGGUUAAAUCGUAUUAAUUGUGUUCUAACAAUUAUAUCAAGAGCCGUCCUUUUUGUUUAUUCAGGUUUUAAAUACGAGUUUUUUGCAUGUAAUGUUCCGACUAAGGUGGACACGGGGCAAUGAAUAAAGAAGCAAUCUAAUGAAAAAUAAAUUCAUAAUACUUACAUUUUGUAGAAAUGCCAAGCGACAAACCUAGCAUUCAAAUUUACUACGCUGUAUUUGUAAUUGUAACAUAGUAAUAUAUUUCCUUUUUGAUGAUUACGG
rnacentral:lncRNA from 1 species